UAGGGACCUAGCGUUGUCCGGAAUCAUUGGGCGUAAAGCGCGCGUAGGCGGCCCGGUAAGUCCGUUGUAAAAGUCAAAGGCUCAACCUUUGAAAGCCGAUGGAUACUGCCGGGCUAGAGUACGGAAGAGGCGAGUAGAAUUCCUGGUGUAGCGGUGGAAUGCGCAGAUAUCAGGAGGAAUACCCAUAGCGAAGGCAGCUCGCUGGGACGUUACUGACGCUGAGGCGCGAAAGCGUGGGGAGCGAACAGG
rnacentral:rRNA from 1 species